GUGCUAGGCUGCUCCAACUUUAUGAGUGCUUUCAGAACAGGCAGCAACAGAAUUUACCUCAGCUGCUUUAUGAGAAGCUACCUAAGACCUUCUCUACCCCAGCUGUGCCAGUAAGUAUGCCUUUGGUUACAAUUCAGAGAAAACUCCAUCUCAGUUGCU
rnacentral:lncRNA from 1 species